AGCGAACGCUGGCGGCAGGCCUAACACAUGCAAGUCGAACGAACUCUUCGGAGUUAGUGGCGGACGGGUGAGUAACACGUGGGAACGUGCCUUUAGGUUCGGAAUAACUCAGGGAAACUUGUGCUAAUACCGAAUGUGCCCUUCGGGGGAAAGAUUUAUCGCCUUUAGAGCGGCCCGCGUCUGAUUAGCUAGUUGGUGAGGUAAAGGCUCACCAAGGCGACGAUCAGUAGCUGGUCUGAGAGGAUGUUCAGCCACAUUGGGACUGAGACACGGCCCAAACUCCUACGGGAGGCAGCAGUGGGGAAUCUUGCGCAAUGGGCGAAAGCCUGACGCAGCCAUGCCGCGUGAAUGAUGAAGGUCUUAGGAUUGUAAAAUUCUUUCACCGGGGACGAUAAUGACGGUACCCGGAGAAGAAGCCCCGGCUAACUUCGUG
rnacentral:rRNA from 1 species